rnacentral:lncRNA from 1 species
GAUUCUUGCAUCAUUUCGGGAGAUUGAGUGAGAUGUGAGCGAUUGGGGAUGGAUUGUUUGCGCUUGGGAAAGAGAAACUCGAUUGUGAGUGAGACUGUAUUUUGAGAGCAUGAUGGGGGACGAAGAGAUGAGAGAGAAGGUUUCUUUGGGUUAGAGUGAGCGAGUUUGAGAGAAGGGGAGAGUGGCGUUGAGGUUGAGAGAGCGAGUG